rnacentral:rRNA from 1 species
UACGUAGGUCCCGAGCGUUGUCCGGAUUUAUUGGGCGUAAAGCGAGCGCAGGUGGUUUAAUAAGUCUGAUGUAAAAGGCAGUGGCUCAACCAUUGUGUGCAUUGGAAACUGUUAGACUUGAGUGCAGUAGAGGAGAGUGGAAUUCCAUGCGUAGCGGUGAAAUGCGUAGAUAUAUGGAGGAACACCGGUGGCGAAAGCGGCUCUCUGGACUGUCACUGACACUGAGGCUCGAAAGCGUGGGUAGCAAACAGG